UAUUGAAGAAUCGUUAUAUGGUGAUCC
rnacentral:sRNA from 1 species